AGAGUUUGAUCCUGGCUCAGGAUGAACGCUGGCGGCGUGCCUAAUACAUGCAAGUCGAGCGAACGGAUAAGGAGCUUGCUCCUUUGAAGUUAGCGGCGGACGGGUGAGUAACACGUGGGUAACCUACCUAUAAGACUGGAAUAACUUCGGGAAACCGGAGCUAAUGCCGGAUAACAUUUGGAACCGCAUGGUUCUAAAGUAAAAGAUGGUUUUGCUAUCACUUAUAGAUGGACCCGCGCCGUAUUAGCUAGUUGGUAAGGUAACGGCUUACCAAGGCAACGAUACGUAGCCGACCUGAGAGGGUGAUCGGCCACACUGGAACUGAGACACGGUCCAGACUCCUACGGGAGGCAGCAGUAGGGAAUCUUCCGCAAUGGACGAAAGUCUGACGGAGCAACGCCGCGUGAGUGAUGAAGGUUUUCGGAUCGUAAAACUCUGUUAUUAGGGAAGAACAAAUGUGUAAGUAACUGUGCACAUCUUGACGGUACCUAAUCAGAAAGCCACGGCUAACUACGUGCCAGCAGCCGCGGUAAU
rnacentral:rRNA from 1 species